rnacentral:rRNA from 1 species
CCUACGGGGGGCAGCAGUGGGGAAUAUUGGACAAUGGGGGCAACCCUGAUCCAGCCACGCCGCGUGUGUGAAGAAGGCCCUCGGGUUGUAAAGCACUUUCAGUGAGGAAGAACGCCUGGUGGUUAAUACCCAUCAGGAAAGACAUCACUCACAGAAGAAGCACCGGCUAACUCCGUGCCAGCAGCCGCGGUAAUACGGAGGGUGCGAGCGUUAAUCGGAAUUACUGGGCGUAAAGCGCGCGUAGGUGGCUUGAUAAGCCGGUUGUGAAAGCCCCGGGCUCAACCUGGGAACGGCAUCCGGAACUGUCAAGCUAGAGUGCAGGAGAGGAAGGUAGAAUUCCCGGUGUAGCGGUGAAAUGCGUAGAGAUCGGGAGGAAUACCAGUGGCGAAGGCGGCCUUCUGGACUGACACUGACACUGAGGUGCGAAAGCGUGGGUAGCAAACAGGAUUAGAUACCCGAGUAGUC